rnacentral:lncRNA from 1 species
CUCGGUAAAAGUAUUCGUCCACCUUUGGUGGGUAUAAGUAUCCAUCCAUCUUUAGUAGGUAAAGUUAUCUAUCUACCUCUCUGGUGGCUAAAAGUAUCCAUCCACUGAUGGGUAAAAAUAUCCAUCCGGUAAAAGUAUUCAUCCACUUUUGGUGGGUAUAAGUAUCCAUCCAUCUCUAGUAGGUAAAGUUAUCUAUCUACCUCUCUGGUGGGUAAAAGUAUCCAUCCACUGAUGGGUAAAAGUAUCCGUCCACUGAUGGGUAAAAAUAUCCAUUCACCUUCUGAUGAGUAAAGAUAUCCA